rnacentral:rRNA from 1 species
UACGUAGGGGGCAAGCGUUGUCCGGAAUCAUUGGGCGUAAAGCGCGUGUAGGCGGCCCGGUAAGUCCGCUGUGAAAGUCGGGGGCUCAACCCUCGAAUGCCGGUGGAUACUGUCGGGCUAGAGUGCGGAAGAGGCGAGUGGAAUUCCUGGUGUAGCGGUGAAAUGCGCAGAUAUCAGGAGGAACACCAAUUGCGAAGGCAGCUCGCUGGGACGUGACUGACGCU